rnacentral:rRNA from 1 species
UACGUAGGGGGCAAGCGUUGUCCGGAAUCAUUGGGCGUAAAGCGCGUGUAGGCGGCUUGGUAAGUCUGCUCUGAAAGCCCGGGGCUCAACCCCGGGAGGCGGGUGGAUACUGUCAAGCUCGAGUCCGGAAGAGGAGUGUGGAAUUCCUGGUGUAGCGGUGAAAUGCGUAGAUAUCUGGAGGAACACCGGUGGCGAAGGCGGCAUCCUGGACCGGUAUUGACGCUGAGGCGCGAAAGCCAGGGGAGCAAACGGG